UACGUAGGGUGCAAGCGUUAAUCGGAAUUACUGGGCGUAAAGCGUGCGCUGGCGGUUUUGUAAGUCUGUCGUGAAAUCCCCGGGCUCAACCUGGGAAUUGCGAUGGAGACUGCAAGGCUGGAGUCUGGCAGAGGGGGGUAGAAUUCCACGUGUAGCAGUGAAAUGCGUAGAGAUGUGGAGGAACACCGAUGGCGAAGGCAGCCCCCUGGGUCAAGACUGACGCUCAUGCACGAAAGCGUGGGGAGCAAACAGG
rnacentral:rRNA from 1 species